ACCUCGGAUCAGGUAGGGAUACCCGCUGAACUUAAGCAUAUCAAUAAGCGGAGGAAAAGAAACCAACAGGGAUUGCCUCAGUAACGGCGAGUGAAGCGGCAACAGCUCAAAUUUGAAAUCUGGCUCUUUUAGGGUCCGAGUUGUAAUUUGGAGAAGAUGCUUCGGGUGUGGCCCCGGCCUAAGUUCCUUGGAACAGGACGUCACAGAGGGUGAGAAUCCCGUACGUGGCCGGUGGCCUCGCCUAUGUGAAGCUCUUUCGACGAGUCGAGUUGUUUGGGAAUGCAGCUCAAAAUGGGUGGUAUAUUUCAUCUAAAGCUAAAUAUUGGCCAGAGACCGAUAGCGCACAAGUAGAGUGAUCGAAAGAUGAAAAGCACUUUGGAAAGAGAGUUAAACAGUACGUGAAAUUGUUGAAAGGGAAGCGCUUGCAACCAGACUUGCGCGCGGUUGAUCAUCCGGUGUUCGCACCGGUGCACUCGACCGCGCGCAGGCCAGCAUCGGUUUGGGCGGUUGGAUAAAGGCCCCAGGAAUGUGGCUCUCUUCGGGGAGUGUUAUAGCCUGGGGCGCAAUGCAGCCUGCCCGGACCGAGGA
rnacentral:rRNA from 1 species